GAGGAUUCGGCCAGUUCCCCCGAGGCGCUGUCCGGCCGUGCUUGUGUGCUCCUGCCUUCAGCCGUGUGGUACAUCUGUGUGUGUGUGUGAUGUGGAGCGCGGCGGUGGCGGCGCUGGCGCUGCUGGCGGCGCGCUGCGGCGCCGGGAACAUCACCGUCAUCUCGCAGCAGUUAACGUUCGACGACACUCAUGAGCUGGUAGUGAACUCGUCCGUCGAAUUCAUACUUUCGUUCGCUCCGAACCCGGCGCAGGGCCACCUGCCCAUCCGCGUGUGGGCGCAGACGCAGGGCGGCGACACCGCGCGCCCGCUGCUGCUCACCGCGCGCCGCACCGUCGGCGCGUGGACGUGGCAGCUGCCGUACCGCUCGGGGCCGGCGCUGCUGCACGAGCUGCAGCGCACGCUGUGCCCCGACGACAGCGUCGACGUCGAGAGCCUCGGCGACGACUGCGAGGCGGAGGCGGGCGCGGCGGGCGUGGGCGCGCUGACGCUGCACGUGAGCUCGUCGUGCGCCGCGGCCGCGCGCGUGCGCCUGCGCGCCGCCUUCGUGCGCGACUGGCGCCUGCCCUUCCAGUCGUCCACGCCCGUGCAGCUGGCGCAGGGCGCGCCCAGCGUGCACGCCUACCGCUUCCCGCGCGACCAGGACCACGUGCGCCUCGUGGUCGACUCCGCCGACGACGUGUGCGCCACCGUCGCCGUGCAGGACUACUCCUGCCCGAUAGCGGAGACGUUGGAGGACAUAGAGAUCUCGUCGCUGCGCAUGACGGUCACGCGCUCCGGCGGCAUGCAGCUGUCGCGGCAGCGGUACCCGCGCGGGUUCUACGUGGUGGCGGUGGUGCACGCGAGCGACGCGGCGUGCCGGCCCGCGGCCGAGGACGACGACCCCGACUGGCUGUGGGGCGCGGCGCUGGCGGGCGAGGGCGACGCGCCGCCGCCGCACGCGCUGCCGCGCACCAAGGCGCUCACGCUGCACAUGCGCGCGGCGCUGACGCGCGCGCAGUACGCGGCGGGCGCGGGCGCCGCGCUGGCGCUGCUGGCGCUGCUGUACGCCGGCGUGGGCGCGCUGGUGCUGGCGCAGCGCCUGCCGCGCCUGCGCGCGCUCGUCGCGCCGCGCGCCGUGCUCGCCGACAAGCCUGAUGAAGCGACAAGAUCUGAAAUAGACAGCGCGAUGUCCAUGUCGCCGGGGCGCCGCCGCCGCCGCGACUCCACGGCCACGUUCGACAGCAGCGACAACAGCGACACCGACGAGGAGGAGGAGACCGGUACCGCCACCACCGACGUCACCGGCACGCGCUCGCCCACCGCCGCUGCCGUCACUACCGCCGCUGACGUCACCACUGCAGCUGACGUCACCACUACAGCAGACGUCACCAACGCCGCUGACGUCACCACUACAGCUAACGUCACGAACCCCGCUGACGUGACUAGCACAGCUGAGGCAGUUGAUGUCCACGCCGCCGGUAACGGCGUGACGGCGACUGCGGCGCCGCCGCCGCAGUACGCUGACGGCAGUGAGGCGGGCCCGCGCACCGUCUAUGUCAUAGAGUCCGACCGAGCUCAGCCGACUGACAGCACGUCGCGGCCGUUCGGGCUGCCACCGCGGCUGAACGUGGCGGCGCUGACGCGGCGGCGCGGGCGCGUGCUGGCGGCGCGCUCGGACCGCUACCUGUACACGCUGUACACCGUGGGGCUGUUCUACGCGCUGCCCGUGCUGCAGUUCGUGGCCGCCUUCCAGGUGGUGCUCAACGUGACGGGCUCGCUGGACGUGUGCUACUACAACUUCCUGUGCGCGCACCCGCUGGGCGGGCUGUCGGACUUCAACCACGUGUUCUCCAACGUGGGCUACCUGGCGCUGGGCGCGCUGUUCAUGCUGCAGGUGCGGCGCCGCAAGCUGCGCCGCCGCCGCAAGCCGCGCCACGAGGAGUACGGCAUCCCGGCGCACUACGGGCUGCUGUCGUCGCUGGGCGCCGCCAUGAUGAUGGUGGCGCUGCUGUCCGCCAGCUACCACGUCUGUCCCAACGCGCUCAACUUCCAGUUCGACACGGCGUUCAUGUACGUGCUGGCGGUGCUGAGCAUGGUGAAGAUCUACCAGGCGCGCCACGCUGACGUCAACGCGCGCGCCCACGCCACCUUCGGCGUGCUCGCGCUGCUCAUCGCGCUCGGUAACCGCGCCUACUGUCCAGCCUGCCACGCUGAGUGCUGGCGCCAGCACAGACUCGUCAACACGCCACCUUCGGCGUGCUCGCGCUGCUCAUCGCGCUCGUGGUGUGGGGCGUGGUGGGCGGCGGCCCGCUGUUCUGGAGCGUGUUCACCGUGCUGCACGUGUUCACCUUCCUGCUGCUGUCGCUGCGCAUCUACUACGUCGGACAGUUCCGCCUCGAGAAGCAGAGCGUGCAGGAGGCGGUGGCGGCGCUGCCGUCGCGCGGGCUGCGGCCGCUGUACGCGCCGCGCCUCGUCAUGCUGCUCAUCGCCAACGCCGUCAACUGGGGCUUCGCACUCUACGGACUGUUCACGCAGAGCGCGGACUUCGCGGGGCACCUGCUGUCGGUGCUGCUGUGCAACACGCUGCUCUACAUGGUGUUCUACCUGAGCAUGAAGCUGCUGCACGGCGAGCGCCCGCGCUGGUACGCCUGGCUGUUCCUGGCCGCCGGCGCCGCCACCUGGAUGCCCGCGCUCUACUUCUUCGUGUCCGGCAGUUCCGACUGGUCGGCGACGCCGGCGCAGUCGCGCGAGCGCAACCACGAGUGCCGCGUGCUGCAAUUCUACGACUCGCACGACCUGUGGCACCUGCUGUCGGCGCUGGCGCUCUACUUCACGUUCAACGCGCUGCUCACGUGGGACGACGGGCUCGCCGCCGUCAAGCGCACCGACAUCGCUGUAUUCUAGACUUUACAAUAAACUAUUCAAACGAA
rnacentral:misc_RNA from 1 species